AACACAAGACAGAGGCAGGGCUGAAGGUGACUGCCACCUCUUGAGACCCGAGGGCAGAGAAGGACCACCCCCAAAUUGCAUCACUGCGCCACCCACCUCCCCUGCCCCGAGGUCCUGGUGGAGCAAGCCUACGCUCAGGAAGAUGGCUGCUCACCAGGAUGGAGAGGAUCACAGGCCCUCGAAUGACCCACCAGAUGGACGCAUUGGCAUUGAUGUCCCAGCACCUGUGGAAAAAUGGGGCCACUGGCCACAUGUCGCCCCAUGAGCACUUGAUGUGCGGCUGGUCCCAGUGGAGAUGCGCUGUAAGUGCUGGACACCAGGUUUUGAAGAUUUAGUAGGAAUAAAAGGAUGUGAAGUGUGUUAAUUUUUAU